CCCCUAGUAGCGGCGAGCGAAGCGGGAAGAGCUCAAAUUUAUAAUCUGGCACCUUCGGUGUCCGAGUUGUAAUCUCUAGAAAUUUUUUUCGCGUUGGACCGCACACAAGUGGGGGGGAAUACAGAGGCAUAGUGGUGAGAACCCCCGUAUAUGGUGCGGACGCCCAGCGCUUUGUGAUACAUUUUCGAAGAGUCGAGUUGUUUGGGAAUGCAGCUCAAAUUGGGUGGUAAAUUCCAUCUAAAGCUAAAUAUUGGCGAGAGACCGAUAGCGAACAAGUACCGUGAGGGAAAGAUGAAAAGCACUUUGGAAAGAGAGUUAACAGUACGUGAAAUUGUUGGAAGGGAAACGCUUGAAGUCAGACUUGCUUGCUGAGCAAUCGGUUUGCAGGCCAGCAUCAGUUUUCCGGGAUGGAUAAUGGUAGAGAGAAGGUAGCAGUUUCGGCUGUGUUAUAGCUCUCUGCUGGAUACAUCUUGGGGGACUGAGGAACGCAGUGUGCCUUUGGCGGGGGUUUCGACCUCUUC
rnacentral:rRNA from 1 species